rnacentral:rRNA from 1 species
UUUCCGGUUGAUCCUGCCGCCGGCCACCGCUAUCAAGUUCCGACUAAGCCAUGCGAGUCAAGGUAUCGUAAGAUGCCGGCAAACUGCUCAGUAACACGUGGAUAAUCUAACCUUGAGUAAGGGAUAACCUCGGGAAACUGAGGAUAAUACCUUAUAAUUGCUUAAAACUGGAAUGUUUAAGCAAUAAAAGUUCCGACGCUCAAGGAUGAGUCUGCGACCUAUCAGGUAGUAGGUGGUGUAAUGGACCACCUAGCCUCAGACGGGUACGGGCCCUGGGAGGGGUAGCCCGGAGAUGGACUCUGAGACAUCAGUCCAGGCCCUACGGGGCGCAGCAGGCGCGAACACUGUGCAAUGCGCGAAAGCGCGACACGGGGAGCUUGAGUGUCUUGGCAUAGCCAAGACUUUUCUCAUUCCUAAAAAGCAUGAGGAAUAAGUGCUGGGUAAGACGGGUGCCAGCCGCCGCGGUAACACCCGCAGCACAAGUGGUGGUCACUUUUAUUGAGCCUAAAGCGUUCGUAGCCGGUUUUGUAAAUCUUCAGAUAAAGCCUGAAGCUUAACUCCAGAAAGUCUGAAGAGACUGCAAGACUUGAGAUCGGGUGAGGUUAAACGUACUUUCAGGGUAGGGGUAAAAUCCUGUAAUCCCGGAAGGACGACCAGUGGCGAAAGCGUUUAACUAGAACGAAUCUGACGGUAAGGAACGAAGGCUAGGGUAGCAAACCGGAUUAGAUACCCGGGUAGUCCUAGCUGUAAACACUGCCCAUUUGAUGUUGCUUUUCCGUUGAGGGAAGGCAGUGUCGGAGCGAAGGUGUUAAAUGGGCCGCUUGGGAAGUAUGGUCGCAAGGCUGAAACUUAAAGGAAUUGGCGGGGGAGCACCGCAACGGGAGGAAUGUGCGGUUUAAUUGGAUUCAACGCCGGA